UAAACACUAGCCUGAAAACUUGCGGUCGUCCAAACCCAACGAUGAAGUUCCUCGACCCUGCCAGUAUGGGGGCUGCCAUCUUGCUUCUGAGACUCUCGACCUCACUGAUAAUUGUGACAACUAUGCCGCGAGUGCCAGCCUCAAGCCAGAGGCAAAGCCAGAAGUCUCAAGCGAGGAAAGGAAGGCCCAGGAAUGUAGUGGAUGCUGCUGCGUCAUCAGACUCCGAUGAUGAUUAUUUUCAGGUUAAUGGCACCCAGGCAGCUAGCCAAUCACAGACACAGUCCAUGACCCAAGCCGAGAAAGCUGCGGCCAAACUCACUCCAGAGCUCAUUGAGCGCAAGGUGGGAGAGUUGGUCCAGUAUCUACUGAUCAUGGAACAGAGAAAGAUCCCAGUGAGAAGAGGAGAUAUUACCAAGAAUAUCCUGAAGGAGUAUCGCACCAUCUUGCCUCACGUUCUCGAGAGAGCCAAGAGGAAACUGAAGUCGGCGUUUGGCCUGGAGCUUGUAGAAAUCUUGCACAAGACUGGCAAGACUACAAUUAAGAUGUACAUACUGCUGAAUAAGAUUGACGCCGAGAAACAAGGAGUCUUCUUAGACAGCUCCAGAGACGAUCCUAAGGUUGGCCUCCUCAUAACUGUGCUCAGUAUAAUCUUUAUGAGUGGAGGUGCCGUCAAUGAACCUGUCCUGUGGCACACGUUAAAAAAGCUGGGCAUCAAACAAGACGAGAAGAAUCACGAGGUGUUUGGAGAUGUGAAGAAACUGUUGACGUCUGAGUUUGCCUCCAAACAAAUGUAUUUAGACUACAGUCGCAUCCCAAACACGGAUCCAGCAGCUUACCAGUUCAAGUGGGGCAUCAGAGCCCAAACUGAAUGCACCAAGAGGAAAGUGCUGGACUUUGUGUGCCAGAUGUAUGGAAACGACAUGGACGUCAAGACCUGGAAAGAGCAGUAUCGGGAGGUUUUGCAGUCGGAGAGUACUGGUGACAAUGACGAAGACAACUCGGAAUCGUCCGAAAAAGAUGAAUCCUCAGAUGAGUCUGACUAGGACGGCUGCCAACAUUCCCUAAUCAACACACUGUUUUCCUUUCUGGAGACAAAUCCGUUUACUUUUUAAAAAGCUUAAGGCUGGUUUAUACCUGAUGCAAAUGAGAAUGCGAUGCAAAUUUGACAUUAGGAAGCAUUCGCAUUUGAGUUGAAAUGAAUUCGCAGCAUGAAAAGUUGCCCUGACGUCACAAAUUCACGUUCUAUGAACCAGCCUUUAUACUAUAUGGAUUCCUGUAGGAACAACAGGUUGCUCCGGUUGACCACCCACAUACGCUCCAGUGUUAGCAGUGUUUGUGGGCAUGUCUCCAAAAACAAUGUAGCAGUCAAACAACAUUUUUUCUGAGGAAACUUAAUAUUUGUUGGGUACAAAAAUCUACCAUGAGACGAUAGUGUUUCUUUAUUACCCUUGACAGGAGUUUUGUUCUGUGUGAUUUGGACCUUUUGUUUAAAAGUUACGGCAAAGCUUGUAAAGACUGUCAAAUCUGUUUGGGACACUUUCUUAUUUAUUGUUCACAAAUCUUUAUACCUGUUCACCGUUUCGUAACAUGGGUUGAGGAUUUUUCCUAAGACAAUGAUUUUAGAAUAACAGCUUUGUAAGGCCAAAAAAAAUAAGUCUCCGAUUUCUGGUAUGGAGCUUGCCCAAAAAGUGGUGCGGCGACGCGGCUUUUUUUUUUACCUGUUUUUUUUUGCUUCAAAUGUCGGCUGA
rnacentral:misc_RNA from 1 species